rnacentral:rRNA from 1 species
GACGUAGGGCGCGAGCGUUGUCCGGAUUUAUUGGGCGUAAAGGGUGCGUAGGUGGCAAAGUAAGUUGGAUGUGAAAUCCUGGGGCUCAACCUCAGAAUUGCAUUCAAUACUGCUUAGCUAGAGAGCUGUAGAGGAGACUGGAAUUUACGGUGUAGCAGUGAAAUGCGUAGAUAUCGUAAGGAACGCCAGUGGCGAAAGCGAGUCUCUGGGCAGCAUCUGACACUGAGGCACGAAGGCCAGGGGAGCAAACGGG